AUCGCAUAUGAUCACAGAAGUUAAGCAACAUUGAGCCUGGUCAGUAUCUAGAUGGGUGACCAUUUGGGAAUAUCAGGUGAUGUA